ACUAGAAGCCAAAGAUAUAAUUUACUACAUAGAGAAGGUCAGACUGAAGAGCAGCCCCUCACACUUCUAAUCGUUAAGCCAACAGCAAGCAGCAUGACUCAGUUGCUUCCACGUUCUUGGCUGUGUUGCUAGUGUGGCAGGAGAGGAGGUCCAGCAGAACUUGUCUUCAUGAUGGAGAUGGUAAGAGCAUGGUCUCUGCUUACUUCACAAAGCUAGGUGCUUCAUCAGUUACGAUGUGACAUGGAAGGACUGGAGAGUACCAGCAAGGAACCAAGGAAACACCCUCGAAGACACACCCAGAGGCACGUUGAUCCAACUGCACACAAGAUCCCAGAGCCACUCAAAUAGAUAAUGAAGACUCUCUACCACAGAUAGGAUCUCUCUAUUUUGCAUAAGAGACUGAACUCAAACUUGAAGCUCUCCCAUCUCAGUCUCCCAAGUAGCUGAAUUUGCAGGUGUGUGCCACUGUGCCUGGCAUUAAAUUCCAUUUUUUUACUA